AUAGGGGCACCCUUCUAUGAGA
rnacentral:misc_RNA from 1 species